rnacentral:rRNA from 1 species
CUGGCGGAAUGCUUUCACAUGCAAGUCGAACGGCAGCACGGAGAGCUUGCUCUCUGGUGGCGAGUGGCGAACGGGUGAGUAAUAUAUCGGAACGUGUCCAAUAAUGGGGGAUAACGAGUCGAAAGAUUCGCUAAUACCGCAUACGCCCUACGGGGGAAAGCAGGGGAUCGUAAGACCUUGCGUUAAUGGAGCGGCCGAUAUCUGAUUAGCUUGUUGGUGAGGUAAAGGCUCACCAAGGCGACGAUCAGUAGCUGGUUUGAGAGAACGACCAGCCACACUGGAACUGAGACACGGUCCAGACUCCUACGGGAGGCAGCAGUGGGGAAUUUUGGACAAUGGGGGCAACCCUGAUCCAGCCAUUCCGCGUGAGUGAAGAAGGCCUUCGGGUUGUAAAGCUCUUUCGCAAGGGAAGAAAACUUAUGAUCGAAUAAAUCAUGAGGUUGACGGUACCUUGAUAAGAAGCACCGGCUAACUACGUGCCAGCAGCCGCGGUAAUACGUAGGGUGCGAGCGUUAAUCGGAAUUACUGGGCGUAAAGCGUGCGCAGGCGGUUUUGUAAGUCGGAUGUGAAAUCCCCGGGCUCAACCUGGGAACUGCGUUCGAAACUGCAAGGCUAGAGUGUGUCAGAGGGGGGUAGAAUUCCACGUGUAGCAGUGAAAUGCGUAGAGAUGUGGAGGAAUACCAAUGGCGAAGGCAGCCCCCUGGGAUAACACUGACGCUCAUGCACGAAAGCGUGGGGAGCAAACAGGAUUAGAUACCCUGGUAGUCCACGCCCUAAACGAUGUCAACUAGUUGUUGGUAGAGUAAAAUC